rnacentral:lncRNA from 1 species
GCAUUUCCUUCCUUCCUUCCUUCCUUCCUUCCUUCCUUCCUUCCUUCCUUCCUUCCUUCCUUCCUUCAUUCUUGCCUGGAGUAGGAAAGCCAGUUAGCCCCAAGCUGCCCCAUAUUUGCUCACCAAACCAAGAGAAAUUCCUAAGGCCAGGGUUGGAUAAAAUAGCUCUGCUACUGGAUUAGAAGACCAAAGGCCUCCUACCCCUUCUCUCUAGGGUCACCUCACACCAUCAGCUCUAUGUGAGUUGAGAUUGCUUUCACAUUGCCUCUCUCUCCCUUUCCUGCCUUGGCCUUGCUCUGGUCCACUUUGGUCUCACUUGUAGCAGCAGCAUCCUCAUUGUAGUUGUCUACAGCAUCAGGUCUCCCAAACUGUCCACAGAGUCCAUGCCUGUUCCUUGUCUGCACUGUGACCAUGACCAAUCCCUCUAUCACACUGUCUAGUCUUGGGCUUCCUCUCUUUGCCCCAGCCCAGGCCUGCCUUCUUCAUUUCUUCGAGCUCCCAGCCCUUAGCAGAAAGCACAAAUGAAGUCAGUAGUCCUGCUCCAUCUCUGAUAAACUAAACCUAACCGCCCCUAAGGCGGCUGUUGCUAUCUAACAGUUCCGUGUGACCUUCUCUCUGGGGCUCCUGCUACAGCCCAGGUUUUCCAGGGUGGUCAAGCUGUCAGACAUCCAAGUUUACAUCGUUGUAAUUAUUAUAGGUCUUUAAAUUUUACAAGGGUUUGGGGUUAUUUUGUUUUGUUUUGUUGGCUUUGUUUUUGUAUAAAAGAGUCUAACAUUUUUUGCCAAACAGAUAUAUAUUUAAUGAAGAGAUACAUAAAUGUGUGUACUUUCCAGCUUUUUUUUAAUUAUUUUAAUCCCAAACAUCUUCCUGAGAGUAACACUCCCUUAAACAUGCUGUGGAAUAAAAUUAAAUGUGAAGAGUUGGGGAGCUGGUGUUUUGAUUUAGUAAUGUGGGCGCUUGCUACUCCAGCAUAUCCAUCACCUGGGAAUUUGUUAGAGAUGCAAAGCAGACAGCCCCUCCAGACUUCUGAACCACGAUGUUUGAGUAGGUGUUCAUUUGGGAAGCACUGAUCGUGAGCUCUAAAGCAUUGCCGAUAUCAUUUCUAGGAUGCACACCCCAACUCACCAAGGAAAUGAGACUCACUGUACAAAAAUAUGAUCUAUUCCUUUUAUAUUGCUGCUUCCUCGGCAUACUUUCCCAUUAUUGUCUCCUUACCAUUUCAUGACUUAUAGAGCCAGUCCAAUUAAAGACACUACUGACACCAAGGGGACAUGUUGAACCACGGAAAAAGAAUACAAACCUACACACCUGAAAUCAGUUACGCCAAAGCCAAUCUUACUGUGAAUUAAUAAGUUCCCAACAGAGCACAACAGAGAUUUCUUCUUAAGUCAGCUCCCCUACAAAUGUCAUAUGGAUCGUAAGCUCUAAGGGCUGGGAGGGAUGACAGAACCCCAUGCAGUGCAGCUAAGCCACUCUGAACUGGCAGCCAAGAUCUAGAUACAUGCAGGUGACUGCUCUUUGUGGCUGUCAAGAUGGUCAAUUACAGGUUGGCCUGGGCUCCAGUGACAUGGUCCAGAGCACUCCAUAAAUUGCAAAAUCCAUAGUCAUUCACAGGGGUCAUUCUUUCCACUAGAGUGCCCACAUCGGAGUGUUAGGCUGACAUUUCCUCCAUCCUUAAGCUUGGAUCUUAUUAACAUGCAUGCCCUUCCUGAUGGAGUCAUCUACUGUUCUACCUGCUGUGUGAUAAGUUAGAUAAAAGGAAGUGGAUAGAGGCAGAGCACUUUUCACUUCAAAGUUUAAGAGAUGCACCUCCUGGGGCCUGGAUGGGAAGAAUUCAUCUCCUGGUAUUCCUACUUUGGCCCAUAAAUUAGAAAUUUGUGGGGACAUUUUUUUUCUUUUUCAUGUAUAUAUAUAAUACUUGUGCACAAGUGUGGGACAGCAUAGUGUUUUGGUCCAUGUUACACUGGGUAGUGAGAAAGUCUCUCUAUUGCCAUGACCAUUUAUCAUAUCUAUAUAGUGAAUACACUGGAAAUCCCCUCUUCUAGUGAUCUCGAGAUAUACAAUCUUGUGAACUGUAUCCACACACUCCUGCACUGUAGGACCCCAGAAUGUAGCCCUCCUAACUAUCAUUGUACCCACUGUAUACCCCAUGUGCUCUCUCCAGCCUCCAGUAUUGACUCCUUAUUCAGCUACAGGAUUCCAUGGUGGGUGUUCUGCUUACUGUCCUUGAGAAUAUUUCAUUUAAUAAUGUCUUCCAGUCCCACCCGAGGUGUUGAAAGUGACUGUAUUUUAUCUUUUUAUGGCUCCAUAAUAGUCCAUUGUGUACCCACACCACCAUUUAUUUUUUCACUCACCUGUUGCUAGGCACUGAAGUAGAUCCCACAUCCCCAGGUUUUGUGAAUACUGCUGCAGUAAAUAUGAGUACAGGUUCCUCCUGGUGAGCUUUUGUAUGGAAGACACACCUUUUCAUAGACUGACAGCGUCUUAAGGACACGCUCUCAUUGUUCUGCAUUUCUUUUAUUUUGUGGCAAGGUGGGGAAGGAUGGUUGCCCAUAUUCAACAUCUCACCUAUUUCCCAAGGCUGCUUAAGACAUUUCCCACACACAUUGAGACCCGUGCCUCAAGUUGGAUACUUCUGGCGUCAACUGUCCAAGCCCCAUGUAGUGCAAACAAGAAUCCUGUUUAUCAUGAAGUCCAAGUUCUGUUCUCCAAUCUGGCUUUAUCUGAAAUAAAAAAUUGUAUCUG